rnacentral:rRNA from 1 species
UACGGAGGAUCCAAGCGUUAUCCGGAAUUACUGGGCGUAAAGAGUUGCGUAGGUGGCAUAGUAAGCGAAACAUGAAAUCUUGUGGCUCAACCAUGAGACUAUGUUUUGAACUGCUAAGCUUGAGAAUGAGAGAGGUACCUGGAAUUUCUAGUGUAGGAGUGAAAUCCGUAGAUAUUAGAAGGAACACCGAUGGCGUAGGCAGGGUACUGGCUCAUUUCUGACACUAAGGCACGAAAGCGUGGGGAGCAAAUGGG